UACAGAGGUCCCGAGCGUUGUUCGGAUUCACUGGGCGUAAAGGGUUCGUAGGUGGUUGGGUAAGUUUGAUGUGAAAGCUCAGGGCUUAACCCUGAAAUGGCAUUGAAUACUACUUAACUGGAGGUUUGGAGGGGGGACUGGAAUUCUUGGUGUAGCAGUGAAAUGCGUAGAUAUCAAGAGGAACACCAGUGGCGAAGGCGAGUCCCUGGACAACACCUGACACUGAGGCACGAAAGCUAGGGGAGCAAACAGG
rnacentral:rRNA from 1 species